GUCAUUUUGUCUAAAAAAAAAAAGAAAGCCUGAACGUCUGAACCCCACAUAGCCCCAGCCCCUUUUGUUCAGUCCCUCACCUAACCACACUUCAACCCUAAUUUCCUUCCAAUCUUCCUCCAACUCCAACGAAGAGCAGCCGCCACCAUCACCGCUAUCCACUCCUCAUCGUGGGUUGUCGGUGCUUCUCCCCUCCUCGCCCUGCUCCUCAUCGUUUCUGGCCGUCACCUCUUCUCUGCUUCCGUCAGUCUUUCCGUUGCUGCCUCUUUGCUCUGCACCGUGUCUCGUCACCGUUGCAGACAUUGCUUCUCCUUGCCGUCGUCGCCUCUCAAAGAUCUGCUUGGAGCUGUUGACGUCACAGUCUCUGUCGUCGUUGUCCUCGAGCCCUCUCUCCUUCUCUUUCUGUCCGAGCUGAAUUUUUUUCCUCCUUGUCGUCACGUCCCUUCCUCCCUCGUUGCUGAAUUAAUUUUGUUGAUGGAAUUCUGAGUUGGGGUUGAUGGUUAAUUUUAACAGUGGUUGUUAAUUUUGUUAAUUUUGUGUUCUGAGUUUUGGGUUGGGGGGUUGGUGAUAUAAUUCUGAAUUUAAUUUGGAUGCUGAUUGCUGAGUAUGAAUUCUUUGUUUAUUUUUUCUGUUUUUGGAUUUUUUAACUUUGGAUGGUGAGUUCUCUGUGUUUGGAUUCGAGUUUUUAUUGUUGAAUAUUUGAUUAGAAGUUGUUAAAAUUUUUGUGAUUCUGAAUUUUUUGUUGCUGGUGGUUUGACUUUCCAUGUAAGUUUGUUAUUCUGAUUUCUUUUUUGUGAUUCUUGAACAUGAUCUUUUGGGUUCUGGCCUCCAAAAACAAGAAGUGUAUGUUGUUGCCAAGGAUGUGAUUAGAGGUAAAGGGGAAUUGCUCUGAGAUGAUGAACCUGGAUAGAAGAAUUAUGUAGCACCAGUUUAUUGUUGUGCAAAAAGUCAGAGAGAGUGAAAGAGAAUUUGAGAAUGAAGAAAGAAAUUAAUUUAAUUAUGAUCUGUAGGUUUCUUUUACACUGAAAUAGACAAAUUUUUAUAAUAAGUUCCUUUAGUUUCUAUAA